rnacentral:rRNA from 1 species
UACAGGGGGUGCAACCGUUGCUCGGAAUUAUUGGGCGUAAAGCGCGCGUAGGCGGCCACUUAGGUCGGAUGUGAAAGCCCCUGGCUCAACUGGGGAAGUGCACCCGAAACUGAAUGGCUUGAGUGCGAAAGAGGGUCGCGGAAUUCCCGGUGUAGAGGUGAAAUUCGUAGAUAUCGGGAGGAAUACCAGUGGCGAAGGCGCUGACCUGGACGAAGAUUGACGCUGAGGUGCGAAAGCGUGGGGAGCAAACAGG